AACAAUGUCGUGAGGCAUUGUUGAGCAUGCAGAAGUCAGCAGAGGUCAUAGUAGCAGAGAUGUGAA
rnacentral:ncRNA from 1 species